rnacentral:sRNA from 19 species
GUCAACCACCCACCGCCUAUAGAGGCGGGGGCUUGUAGAAAUGCAAGCUCGGUUGAUUAGCCUAUGUCAUUAGCUUUCGCUAAUGAUUAGUUAUAGCAGAAUAUAUAGUCACCGUGGGAUGCUCCACAAGUCCCAUGCUCUGAG